rnacentral:lncRNA from 1 species
GUGGCCCUCGUGUCCGCGCCGUUCUUGGGCUGGAACCUCGACGGGAACGAGGCGAUCUCGUACCAGCGGCCCAUGUACCGCUGCAGGUCGAGCCCCUUCACCACCUCCAUCUCUUUCUUCGCCAUCUUUUCCUCUCUUUCCUCGCUCGCGGGUCUCGAGUUCGUGACAGGAAGAAGGGAUUGUCUCAGGAUUUUUAUGAGUGAAAAGGUUGGAUCUCUAUUUCCUCCCUUGUCCGUCGGGUUAACCCUGUUUCUCCUUGCCUUCUUUGCUGCAGUUCCUUUAUAAAGAUAACGUAUGAAAUCGGAAAAAAUGGGGAAAGAGAUUUUCUGGCGUGACGUGGAGGAUCCAGGACCUUGCAUUUGUGGGGCGCCGAGGUUCAAACUACCAGAUGUAUCCCUAAAGAUUCUAGAGGGUUCGUCG